rnacentral:rRNA from 4 species
GUUUUAAGUACAUAUUAAUAAUGAUAAUAUGUAUAAAAGUCUUGACCAAUUACGUGCCAGCAGUCGCGGUAAUACGUAGGAGACGAGCAUUAUUCAUAUUAAAUAGGUUUAAAGGGUACCCAAACGGUCAAAAUACCUUGAAUAAAGAAGUACUUGACUAGAGUUAUAUGAGGGAAGACCGUACUUGAGGUGGAGGGAUUAUAUCCUGUGAUACCAAAAGGACUGAUAAAGGCGAAGGCUGUCUUUUAUGUAAUAACUGACGUUGGAGGACGAAGGCAUAGAGAACUAACAGGAUUUGACACCCUAGUAGUCUUUGCAGACAAUGAUGAAUGCCAUGAACUAGAUUAUAAUUUAGUUUUAUAAAUGAAAAUGAAAGCAUUUCACCUCAAGAGUAAUGUGGCAACGC